GAGCAACGACAAAGUGGAGCGUCGUGGUUUUCCUGUCGCGUAAAUUGUCGCCGAAAUCAUAUGCUUCUCCUUCUCACUAUUCUACCUCGUGAGGAUUUUCUAAAGAUAUAGAAACCAAAAAUGUGAUGCUAUCUUUUAAAGAAGUACGAAAGGCAAGCAAAAGAUCCCACAUACUAGUCUAUGUUUACAUGCCCAUGUUUCGUGGGCUGGCUCAGACUGAUUAAAUUGGAUUGGAACAUUGGAGUCAUAGCCGUUGUUUGAUGAGCCUAAUUGCACUUCGAACUGAGUCGGACUGGGGUAGGACACAAGUCCCAGAAAGGAGGGAAUCAGGACCCAUGUGGAGACAGGUUUUGAGUGAGCCUCUUCUCUUCUCCGCAUCUUGUUUUUCCUCUUCUCUCCACGGUUUCAAGGAUUUGCUUAAGGUAUAUAAAGAGACCAGAAAUGGAGUUCUACCCUUCACAGAGGUUCAAAAGAAAGGCAAGCUAAUGAUCCCACGUUACUGGUCCGAGAUUACAAGCUCUUAGGGUAAUGGAAUGUUUUACGUAUACCUGUUUAUAUUCUGCUGCAACAUUUCUCACACCCGCUCUCAUGGCAUUAUCGAUACCAAUUUGUACCCGAUGAGUCUUGGAAUGCUAUUUUUAUAAAGGUACGAAAAGAAAGGCGAGCAAAUGAUCCCACAUUACCGGUCUGAGUUUACAAUCUCUUAAGGUAAUGGGACGUUUUACUUA
rnacentral:sRNA from 1 species